rnacentral:rRNA from 1 species
UAGGGAAUCUUCCACAAUGGACGCAAGUCUGAUGGAGCAACGCCGCGUGAGUGAAGAAGGUUUUCGGACCGUAAAGCUCUGUUGUUGGUGAAGAAGGAUAGAGGUAGUAACUGGCCUUUAUUUGACGGUAAUCAACCAGAAAGUCACGGCUAACUACGUGCCAGCAGCCGCGGUAAAUACGUAGGUGGCAAGCGUUGUCCGGAUU